rnacentral:rRNA from 1 species
GAUAAACGCUGGCGGCGUGCCUUAUGCAUGCAAGUCGAACGUGAAGCCGGCUUCGGCCGGUGGAAAGUGGCGAACGGGUGAGUAACACGUAGGAACCUGCCCGGAAGUGGGGGAUAACCCCGCGAAAGCGGGGCUAAUACCGCAUGUGGUCGAAAGACUAAAGCUUCGGUGCUUCCGGAGGGGCCUGCGGCGGAUUAGCUAGUUGGUGGGGUAAUGGCCUACCAAGGCGACGAUCCGUAGCUGGUCUGAGAGGAUGGUCAGCCACACUGGGACUGAGACACGGCCCAGACUCCUACGGGAGGCAGCAGUGGGGAAUAUUGAACAAUGGGGGCAACCCUGAUGCAGCCAUGCCGCGUGUAUGAAGAAGGCCUUCGGGUUGUAAAGUACUUUCAGCGAGGAGGAAGGUGGUGAACUUAAUACGUUCAUCAAUUGACGUUACUCGCAGAAGAAGCACCGGCUAACUCCGUGCCAGCAGCCGCCGUAAGAC